GGGGCUUGAAUGGCAAAGAUGAAACCAAGAAUGCAAAUAUCUUAUCCAGAAAAAAUAUAUGGCAUGAGGCCUACUUGUCUGCACUAAGUGUCUCAAGGGGCAUGGCUUAGUCAAACCACAACUCCAUGGAACUUAAUGAAGCAGAGCACUUUAGUGAAAAGAGAAAAGAAGAAAGAAAAUAAAGAAGGAAGGAAAAGGGGAACAAAGAGGAACUGUUCCAGUCAAGCCUCCAAGGACCUCCAUGGAUGUCAAAUCCAUGUUGCUAAAUUCAAGGAGAAUGUUCUUUCCUUAUCUCAGUUUGUGAAAGUAGAAUCCUCACGAAUGGAAUUAGUGCCCUUAUAAGAAGAAAUACAAGAGAAAUGAUCUCUUUCUGGACCAUAAGAGGAUACAGUGUAAAGACAGACCUCUGCAAGAGAGCCGUCACUGAGAAAUGAACCUGCUGCCCUCCUGAUCUUGGAUGGGCCAGCUUCAGAAAUGUGAAAAAUAAAGGUUUCUUGUUUAAGCCACCCAGGCAAUGAUAUGUGUUAUGGCACCCUAAGCUGACUAAGGACAGCUUUCUUCCUCAAUCUCAUUCAUGGGUCCUCAGGACUAUGAGUUGGAUAUUUUUCAUCAGCAUGCUGAUAUAAUGCCUUUGUUUAAUUUUCUGUGUCUCGAAUUUUUAGCUCUAGGUCCAGAACUUGCCUUUGGCUUCUAUUUGUGUGUGUAUUGCAUCUGUCUCACCAUAUAUCAACAGGUAU
rnacentral:lncRNA from 1 species